rnacentral:rRNA from 1 species
AGUGAACGCUGGCGGUAGGCCUAACACAUGCAAGUCGAACGGCAGCACAGUAAGAGCUUGCUCUUACGGGUGGCGAGUGGCGGACGGGUGAGGAAUACAUCGGAAUCUACUUUUUCGUGGGGGAUAACGUAGGGAAACUUACGCUAAUACCGCAUACGACCUACGGGUGAAAGCAGGGGAUCUUCGGACCUUGCGCGAUUGAAUGAGCCGAUGUCGGAUUAGCUAGUUGGCGGGGUAAAGGCCCACCAAGGCGACGAUCCGUAGCUGGUCUGAGAGGAUGAUCAGCCACACUGGAACUGAGACACGGUCCAGACUCCUACGGGAGGCAGCAGCGGGGAAUAUUGGACAAUGGGCGCAAGCCUGAUCCAGCCAUACCGCGUGGGUGAAGAAGGCCUUCGGGUUGUAAAACCCUUUUGUUGGGAAAGAAAAGCAGCAGGUUAAUCCCCCGCUGUUCUGACGGUACCCAAACAAUAAGCACCGGCUAACUUCGUG